UUUGCUUUUUAGUAGUGUUGCUGAGAGGAGAGGCGACACAAACCAUUGGUAGUUGUUUGCUUCCUGUUAUAUACGUACCGGGAUCUGAGGAUAGUGUUCCUCCCUUUUCUGUGAUCAUCUACAUAUGAUGCAACAGUUGUCUUUGCAUCUCCACUGGGUGGUGGUUACACCCUUUCGUAUGUGAAUGCUUUUGGCUAAUGCUACUAUCUGUUGCUUAGUUAUUUAGUGUGUUCUGUCAUGUGGUGUGUUUUCUAAGGAAAAAAAUUGUAUAUUCCUAGUUUACCACUGCUCUGCUCUUCUUUUAUUAUUAGGACUAUAAGAAUAAUAUUGACAUUUUUCCACCAAUACAUGAGUUGCACAGGAUCAUAUGCGCCAAGGCGCACCACUAAAUAACUAAGCAUCUGCCGCCAGCCUCCAGCGGGGUCCGGAAGAAGGUGGGCGCGAAGGGGCGGAGCAGGUGCGUGUACUGGAGGAAGGAGGCGGCGGCGCGACUGGGUCAAGGCCGUCGUCCCCGACCUGUCCUUGACCAUCACGGUCAUCCUCGACCUCCUCAACCAGCAUGAGCAAGAGGAGUGGCCUAACUGUCGCCAAGAGGAGCUUCUGGUGCCCGUCUGGAGCUCUUCCCUUCGACUUCGUGGCCUGCUCUGCCUCUUUGUUGUCACCGAGGACACCCGACAGCGGCACAACAGGCUCUUCUUCAAAGAAUACCAUCAGUGCAUGCAUGACUUCCCAGUGGGAUAUGUAGAACAUUUAAGGGAGCACUGAGCCAACAAUUUCACAACCAGGGAUAAUGUCACCAUGCUCCAACAUGCCCUUGUUUCUAGGAGGCUUGAGUGAUUGCUGAAAAUGAGUCAACGAGUAUGUGGGAGUAGUAGCGCACUCUUCAGCAUAGGGGAGCAUGAACCACCGAGACGGAUUCAUCAUCAUCGUCAUCAUCGCGUCAGAGGCAGAGGGUACGGAGGAUCCUAGGUCUCAUCUCUCUCGGAGGAUCAAAUGUCUCUCUCUCU